GAAAUGCGAUACUUGGUGUGAAUUGCAUAAUCUUGUCUAUUUUCGCCUUGUGGAGGGCUUUAGAUGUGGUCUUUUUUACAAACUGCGCUUUUUACAAAAAAAGCACCCUUUAACCGUCCUCGGAUCAGGCGGGAUUACCCGCUGAACUUAA
rnacentral:misc_RNA from 1 species